UCGAGCGGAUGAGGGAGCUUGCUCCUGGAUUCAGCGGCGGACGGGUGAGUAAUGCCUAGGAAUCUGCCUGGUAGUGGGGGAUAACGUUCCGAAAGGAACGCUAAUACCGCGUACGUCCUACGGGAGAAAGCAGGGGACCUUCGGGCCUUGCGCUAUCAGAUGAGCCUAGGUCGGAUUAGCUAGUUGGUGAGGUAAUGGCUCACCAAGGCGACGAUCCGUAACUGGUCUGAGAGGAUGAUCAGUCACACUGGAACUGAGACACGGUCCAGACUCCUACGGGAGGCAGCAGUGGGGAAUAUUGGACAAUGGGCGAAAGCCUGAUCCAGCCAUGCCGCGUGUGUGAAGAAGGUCUUCGGAUUGUAAAGCACUUUAAGUUGGGAGGAAGGGCUGUAGGCUAAUAUCCUGCGGUUUUGACGUUACCAACAGAAUAAGCACCGGCUAACUUCGUGCCAGCAGCCGCGGUAAUACGAAGGGUGCAAGCGUUAAUCGGAAUUACUGGGCGUAAAGCGCGCGUAGGUGGUUCGUUAAGUUGGAUGUGAAAGCCCCGGGCUCAACCUGGGAACUGCAUCCAAAACUGGCGAGCUAGAGUACGGUAGAGGGUAGUGGAAUUUCCUGUGUAGCGGUGAAAUGCGUAGAUAUAGGAAGGAACACCAGUGGCGAAGGCGACUACCUUGGACUGAUACUGACACUGAGGUGCGAAAGCGUGGGGAGCAAACAGGAUUAGAUACCCGCGGUAGUCCACGCCGUAAACGAUGUCAACUAGCCGUUGGAAUCCUUGAGAUUUUAGUGGCGCAGCUAACGCAUUAAGUUGACCGCCUGGGGAGUACGGCCGCAAGGUUAAAACUCAAAUGAAUUGACGGGGGCCCGCACAAGCGGUGGAGCAUGUGGUUUAAUUCGCAGCAACGCGAAGAACCUUACCUGGCCUUGACAUGCUGAGAACU
rnacentral:rRNA from 1 species